rnacentral:rRNA from 1 species
CCUACGGGUGUCAGCAGUGAGGAAUAUUGGUCAAUGGACGCAAGUCUGAACCAGCCAAGCCGCGUGCAGGAAUACGGCUCUAUGAAUUGUAAACUGCUUUUGUACUAGGGUAAACGCAGACACGUGUAUCUGUCUGAAAGUAUCUGACGAAUAAGCAUCGGCUAACUCCGGGCCAGCAGCGGCGGUAAUACGGAGGAUUCAAGCGUUAUCCGGAUUUAAUGGGUUUAAAUGGUGCGGAGGCGGUAGGAUAAGUUAGAGGUGAAAUCUCGAGGCUCAACUUCGGAAGUGCCUCUGAUACGGUUCGGCUAGAGUGUAGUAGCGGUAGGCGGAAUGUAUGGUGUAGCGGUGAAAUGCUUAGAGAUCACGCAGAACACCGAUUGCGAAGGCAGCUUACCAAGCUACUUCUGACGUUGAGGCACGAAAGCGUGGGGAGCAAACAGGAUUAGAUACCCUAGUAGUC